UACGUAGGGUGCAAGCGUUAAUCGGAAUUACUGGGCGUAAAGCGUGCGCAGGCGGUUUUGCAAGCCGGAUGUGAAAUCCCCGGGCUCAACCUGGGAAUGGCAUUCGGGACUGCACGGCUAGAGUGUGUCAGAGGGGGGUAGAAUUCCACGUGUAGCAGUGAAAUGCGUAGAUAUGUGGAGGAAUACCGAUGGCGAAGGCAGCUCGCUGGGACAGUAUUGACGCUGAGGCGCGAAAGCGUGGGGAGCGAACAGG
rnacentral:rRNA from 1 species